rnacentral:rRNA from 1 species
CGCCUCCUGCAACACAACCAUGUAUAGGAGGUCCAGCCUGCCCAGUGACUACAAGUUCAACGGCCGCGGUAUUUUGACCGUGCAAAGGUAGCGCAAUCACUUGUCUUUUAAAUAGAGACCUGUAUGAAUGGCUAAACGAGGGCUUAACUGUCUCCCCUUUCCAGUCAGUGAAAUUGAUCUGCCCGUGCAGAAGCGGACAUAAAAAUACAAGACGAGAAGACCCUUUGGAGCUUAAGGUACAAAACUCAACCGCGUCAAGCAACUCAAUAAAAAGCAAAAACUUUGCGGAACAUGAGAUUUUACCUUCGGUUGGGGCGACCACGGAGGAAAACAAAGCCUCCAAGUGGAUUGGGAAAACCUCCUAAAACCAAGAGAGACAUCUCUAAGCCACAGAACAUCUGACCAAACAUGAUCCGGCUGCCCGAAGCCGAUCAACGAACCAAGUUACCCUAGGGAUAACAGCGCAAUCCUCUCCCAGAGUCCAUAUCGACGAGAGGGUUUACGACCUCGAUGUUGGAUCAGGACAUCCUAAUGGUGCAGCCGCUAUUAAGGGUUCGUUUGUUCAACGAUUAAAGUCCG